ensembl:lncRNA
GGUGACACUCCUGGCAUCAUUGUAACCACCCAGGCGGCAGCCCCUCCAGAGAGACGCCUCCUCGUCCUCCCCAGGUCAUGCUCCCUACGCUGCAUCUCCCCUGGGACUCACCCUACCCAGCCUGAACUCAGCCUCCCCCGCACGUGCUCCACCGUCAGGUGCACAUCCUGGCAAAUGGCAUCACCAUCCACACUCAGCCACUCAAGCUAAAAACCUGGAAGCCAACAAGAUCUCCUCCCACCCUUGCCCCUCACCCCAUCCAUCACGGGGCGCUGGAGGUGCUCCCCCUACAGAUGCUGAAGUCACUGGCCCAGCUCCCUCUCAGCCUGGGCAGAGUACCGCAGCCUGGCAAGGAGGGCUGUCUCUGGCAAGGGUGGGCCCGGGCCAUUCUAGUCACCCGUGCAGACCCUGUCCACCACCAUGGGUGCCUCCAACUUCAUAGCCCAGGGUUGGGUCCUGAGCUCUGCAAAUCCGCCUCUUCUUCCAGGCCCGCCAAAUGCUGUGCCCCUCCUGGGGGGCCUCCCAUGACUUGUCCUCUGACAGCCAGCAGGAGGCUGUGGACAGACUCCCAGGACCAACGCCCUGCAGGGAUCAGGGAACCAAGUCCCUUCCCUUUCUGGGCCUCCGUCUCCCCAUCUUACGAUGGGCACAAACCCAUGCAGGGCUAAUCUCUCAGGUUAUCUUGGCUGAGCCAAGGGAUGUGAAUGGCAUUGCUCUGAAUGGUGUGUACACAUGGAUGGCUGGGGUGAGGGAAGCACGGGGUAGGACGCUGCAAGUGUUGACGUGGACCAGCCAGAGGGCAGCAUCUGUAGCCCUGCAAGGGCCAGAGUGACCGGGCUAACCCAGUCCUCACAAGAUGCUCUCCCCUGCCCUCGGGGUCCUCGGUGGGGCUCUCCCCUGCUGUCUUCAGCAGGAAGGCUCUGGCCCAGGCAUCCCCUGCCUCGAGGGGACACACUGUGCAGCAGGCAGGUGUCUUCCCCUGUCUGAAUCACAAGAUGAGUGGGAUUGAUGGAUCUCUGGGAUCCCAGAGUUUUCACUGGCUUUCCGGGGGUGCUGGAGGCUUCCUGGGGGUGGGGGUGGCAGAAGAGAGACCCAGCCACAUCCCCAAACUGGAACAUUGACCAAGCUUUCCCAUCCUCUUGCCUCCAAGACACUCCAGGCCAGAGUGGCACAGGUCCUGGGGGGCUGGGAGGAGAAGGGCAGUCUCUGGCCAGCUCACCACACUUGGGUGCUUGCACAGGGCUCGAAGCACAGGGGGUGCUCAGGACACAGAACCUGUGUAGCUGAGGUUGGGGGGGCGAUCAAUAGACUUUUGAUGUUAUGUGAUUCUCUCACGUAUGCCUCAGUUUCUCCACCUGCCGAAUGGAGCUGCCUGCCUGGCUCCCUAUUCAGGUCGAAUGGCACCGCUCGCUCUGCUCUAUGUGCGUGUGUGUGUGUGUGUGUGUGUGCACGCGCAUGUAGGAGAGUGGGGAAGGAAGGAGAGAAACCGAAUCCCAGGUGAGCCCACCUGGCACCACCCAUACCAGCCUUUGACAGGGCAAGAUGGAGGAGAAAAAAUCUGCUGCUGUCCGCCCACUUCCUGGUCCCCCCACCUCCAUAUGAAGGAAGGGUGACUGAAGGACUCUCCCUGGAUGUUCCUGUCCAUCACUUGGCGAGCAGUGUGGCUGCUGGAGAAAUUCACUUGCACGUGUGACUCACGUGAGAUUUUACUGGGUAGCUCUGCUCCAGAACUUGGAAAGGCCAUCUCCAGGCCUCUUCCUGGUGGCUCCCAGGAAAAGCAGCCUUUGGAAUUUCCACUGAAUUCCACUCAACCUCAGCCACUGAAGAAUGUCUGCCUCCCAGACGGCCCCUGGGUUCCAGCACUCACUCGGGGUGGCCUCGCUCCGUCUUCUUCCCAAUUCCCCAUGCGUCAGGCAGCCUCCCAGAAUGCUUAGACCCAGCCAAGGGACCUGUGCCUCCAGGACGAGCUUGACCAACAAGGCCGGCAGCCCCCUGCUCCAAACGCCAGCUUCCCAGCUGGCUAGAACCUCAAAGCCUUGUGGGAACUUCCCCGGCGUCACUUUCUCCCUCCCCGCAGACCCCAGGGAUGUGGCUUCCUUGCCCCAGGACCUGAGUCAGCUCCAAGGAAUCCCCUCUCCUCUCGAGGGGGUUCCGAGGGUGAGAGGCAGGGCUGUGUGGUGCUCAAGAGCAUGGCUUAGGAGCCAGAGAGAUCCGAUGGGAACCCAUGCUCUGCCGCGCACCAGCUGGGUGGCUGGGGCACAUCCCCCCUUCUCUCCACCUCGGUGUUCCCAUUUACGACAUGGGCGUAAUCGUUGUACCUGCCUCAUGGAGUCACUGGGGAUUAAAUGACAUCUUCAACGCACGGCCCCCAGCACAGCGCCUGGUUUAGAGUCAGUGGUAGUUGUUAAAGGACAGGAAAGAGUUAGGGAUGUGGCUUUUGGCCACAGCCUCACUCAGUCAGCCACGGAGAGGAG